rnacentral:rRNA from 1 species
GAUGAACGCUAGCUACAGGCUUAACACAUGCAAGUCGAGGGACCGGCGCACGGGUGAGUAACACGUAAACAAACGGCCCUUUACGCGGGGAGAGCCUUUCGAAAGAAAGAUUAAUACCCGAUAUAAAGGAUGGGGAUGCGUGCCACUAGGUUGUUGGUGAGGUAACGGCUCACCAAGCCAUCGAUGGAUAGGGGUUAUGAGAGGAAGCAACACUGUAUUGGAACUGAGACACGGACUACACUGCGACGGGAGGCAGCAGUGAGUUCUAAUGGUCACGAGGCGCUAGUCUGAACCUGCCGAGUAGAGUGAAGAAUGCAUGCUUUUGGGUCGUAAACUUCUUUUAUAUAAGAAUAUGUAUUAUCUGAAUAAGGAUCGGCUAACUCCGUGCCAGCAGCCGCGGUAAUAC